AGAUUAUGUUAGAUGUGCCUUUAUAUGGGAGAAUUGCCACACUUGAGCUUUUCCGUCCUAAUGGUGACACACAAGAUCUUCUCUUCAUCACAACUGAGCGACAUGAAUAUUGUGUCCUUCAGUGGGAUGCUGAGGCACAUGAAGUUAUCACAAGGGAGAUGUCUCAGAUCAAACAGGCCAUCCCACGGAUAAUGGUCAGAUUGGUAUAAUUGAUCCGGACUGCAGAUUGAUUGGACUGCAUCUCUAUGAUGGAUUGUUUAAGGUUAUUCCCUUUGGUGAGGAAGGCAAACUGAAGGAAGCUUUUAGCAUCUGGUUUGAGCCUCAAGCUUUGGAUCUAAAAUUCUUGUAUGGUUGCCAAAACCCUACAAUUGUUGUUCUAUAUCAGGU